rnacentral:rRNA from 1 species
GACGAACGCUGGCGGCGUGCUUAACACAUGCAAGUCGAACGGAAAGGCCCUGCUUUUGUGGGGUGCUCGAGUGGCGAACGGGUGAGUAACACGUGAGUAACCUGCCCUUGACUUUGGGAUAACUUCAGGAAACUGGGGCUAAUUCCUGAUAGGAGCUCCUGCUGCAUGGUGGGGGUUGGAAAUUUUCGGCGGUUGGGGAUGGACUCGCGGCUUAUCAGCUUGUUGGUGGGGUAGUGGCUUACCAAGGCUUUGACGGGUAGCCGGCCUGAGAGGGUGACCGGCGACAUUGGGACUGAGAUACGGCCCAGAGUCCUACGGGAGGCAGCAGUGGGGAAUAUUGCACAAUGGGCGGAAGCCUGAUGCAGCAACGCCGCGUGCGGGAUGACGGCCUUCGGGUUGUAAACCGCUUUCGCCUGUGACGAAGCGUGAGUGACGGUAAUGGGUAAAGAAGCACCGGCUAACUACGUG